UGUCCAAUGCCACGUCGCCGGUAGCCUUUAGGCAUUGACCGGCGAUGCUAUGAUUGGACAGAAAUCGAUUUCAUGCUUCGCUUGCUGAUAGGAACCUGUGGAUCUGAAUUCAGUUGAUUCACGGAGCCGAUUUCGGCGAUUACAUUU